AAAAACUACUUAAGUUCAAUGAGAUAAAUAUCCAAAUGCUUUAGCAUCUCUAUAAUGUUCCUUUAGCUAAUAAGCUCACAAAAAUUUAUCUGUUGCACGAAUAACAUCCCUCUUUAAAAGCAAUAUUACAGUAUGCCUUUUGUAUUUUGUUUUCUUUCUAGCUAAUUUUUAGAUCAGGAAUUCUGCCCACUUGCUAAUCUUU
rnacentral:lncRNA from 1 species